rnacentral:rRNA from 1 species
CCUACGGGUGGCAGCAGUGAGGAAUAUUGGUCAAUGGGCGCGAGCCUGAACCAGCCAAGUAGCGUGAAGGAUGACUGCCCUACGGGUUGUAAACUUCUUUUAUACAGGAAUACAGUGAGGCACGUGUGCCUUUUUGUAUGUACUUUAUGAAUAAGGAUCGGCUAACUCCGUGCCAGCAGCCGCGGUAAUACGGAGGAUGCGAGCGUUAUCCGGAUUUAUUGGGUUUAAAGGGAGCGUAGAUGGGUUGUUAAGUCAGUUGUGAAAGUUUGCGGCUAAACCGUGACAUUGCAAUUGAUACUGGCAGCCUUGAGUACAGUUGAGGUAGGCGGAAUUCGUGGUGUAGCGGGGAAAUGCUUAGAUAUCACGAAGAACUCCGAGUGCGAAGGCAGCUUACUAAACUGCCACUGACAUUGAUGCUCGAAAGUGUGGGUAUCAAACAGGAUUAGAUACCCUAGUAGUC